rnacentral:rRNA from 1 species
CAUUCACGGAGAGUUUGAUCCUGGCUCAGGACGAACGCUGGCGGCGUGCUUAACACAUGCAAGUCGAACGAUGAAACCCUUCGGGGUGGAUUAGUGGCGAACGGGUGAGU